GUCGAACGGGGCCGCGCAAGGGGAGGGGAAGGCUUGCCUGACCCGAACCGGACGCGGCCUAGUGGCGGACGGGUGAGUAACGCGUGGGCAAUCUGCCCCGUACCGGGGGAUAACCCCUGGAAACAGGUGCUAACACCGCAUGACAGGCGGGGGCGCAUGCCCCGGCCUUGAAAACUCCGGUGGUACGGGAUGAGCCCGCGUCCGAUUAGCCAGUUGGCGGGGUAACGGCCCACCAAAGCGACGAUCGGUAGCCGGCCUGAGAGGGUGGACGGCCACAUUGGGACUGAGACACGGCCCAAACUCCUACGGGAGGCAGCAGUGGGGAAUAUUGCACAAUGGGGGAAACCCUGAUGCAGCGACGCCGCGUGAGUGAAGAAGCGCCUCGGCGCGUAAAGCUCUGUCAGCAGGAACGACGAUGACGGUACCUGAAGAAGAAGCCCCGGCUAACUACGUGCCAGCAGCCGCGGUAAUACGUAGGGGGCAAGCGUUAUCCGGAUUUACUGGGUGUAAAGGGAGCGUAGACGGCGGGGCAAGUCUGGAGUGAAAGGCCGGGGCCCAACCCCGGGACCGCUCUGGAAACUGCCCGGCUGGAGUGCGGGAGAGGUAAGCGGAAUUCCUAGUGUAGCGGUGAAAUGCGUAGAUAUUAGGAGGAACACCAGCGGCGAAGGCGGCUUACUGGACCGUGACUGACGUUGAGGCUCGAAAGCGUGNGGAGCAAACAGGAUUAGAUACCCUGGNAGUCCACGCCGUAAAC
rnacentral:rRNA from 1 species